UACGUAGGGGGCGAGCGUUAUCCAGAUUUACUGGGCGUAAAGGGCGCGUAGGCGGACAGUUUAGUCAGAGGUGAAAGCCCAGGGCUCAACCUUGGAAUUGCCUUUGAUACUGGCUGUCUUGAGUACGGGAGAGGUGAGUGGAACUCCGAGUGUAGAGGUGAAAUUCGUAGAUAUUCGGAAGAACACCAGUGGCGAAGGCGACUCACUGGCCCGUUACUGACGCUGAGGCGCGAAAGCGUGGGGAGCAAACAGG
rnacentral:rRNA from 1 species